AGGGAUAUAGUAUAACGGUAGUACAGCGGUCUCCAAAACCGUUAAUGGGGGUUCGAUUCCCUCUAUCCCUGCCA
rnacentral:tRNA from 41 species